rnacentral:rRNA from 1 species
UAGUGGCGGACGGGUGAGUAACGCGUGGAUAACCUGCCCACAAGCCUGGGAUAACGCCGGGAAACUGGUGCUAAUACCGGAUAAGUUCUUCGGGGUGCAUGCCCUGGAGAAGAAAGGGGAAACCCGCUUAUGGAUGGAUCCGCGUCCCAUUAGCUUGUUGGUGGGGUAACGGCCUACCAAGGCGACGAUGGGUAGCCGGCCUGAGAGGGUGGCCGGCCACACUGGGACUGAGACACGGCCCAGACUCCUACGGGAGGCAGCAGUGGGGAAUCUUCCGCAAUGGGCGAAAGCCUGACGGAGCAACGCCGCGUGAGUGACGAAGGCCCUUGGGUCGUAAAACUCUGUCUUCAGGGAAGAAAAAAAUGACGGUACCUGAGGAGGAAGCCCCGGCUAACUACGUGCCAGCAGCCGCGGUAAAACGUAGGGGGCGAGCGUUGUCCGGAAUUACUGGGCGUAAAGGGCGUGUAGGCGGCCCGUGAAGUCAGGAGUGAAAACUCGGGGCUCAACCUCGAGAUUGCUUUUGAAACCAGCGGGCUUGAGUGCAGGAGAGGAAAGUGGAAUUCCCAGUGUAGCGGUGAAAUGCGUAGAUAUUGGGAGGAACACCAGUGGCGAAAGCGGCUUUCUGGCCUGUAACUGACGCUGAGGCGCGAAAGCGUGGGGAGCAAACAGGAUUAGAUACCCUGGUAGUCCACGCCGUAAACGAUGGGUGCUAAGUGUUGGGGGUAUCGACCCCCUCAGUGCUGUAGUUAACGCAAUAAGCACCCCGCCUGGGGAGUACGGUCGCAAGACUGAAACUCAAAGG